ensembl:lncRNA
CCUCUGGAGAACAGCAUAACUGCAGCUUGAAGAGGACCAUGGAUUGGGAUGUUUCCAAUGUUGGUUUCUGAAUCAAGUGGACCUAUAAAUUAUACCUCGGCCUGAGCUAGGCUUUCAUCACAGCACAGAAGUCUUGAUCCACAGGGCCCGCCAGCCAUCGUCCUCCAGGGUUAGGAAGGGCAGCCACGUCGCCGACUCUCAUGCUUGAGGAACCAUUUCCAAAGAUCUUUUGGUACAUUUCCAAACUUCUGUCCAUCUGGAGGCCAUCAUCCAUUGUUUCAGGCAUCCAUUGCUCCUUCCCAUCGUAGACCUUGUUUGUCGUGACGAUCUGAACCUGUUGGUGUUAAAUAAGUCAGUGUCUGUACCACUCACUUUGUUUCCGUGGUGAUUUGGUCGGGCUGAACUCAUCCAGAAACGUAGCUGAAAAGUCAAAACACAUAAUGGGCCUCCACCUAAAGCAACAGUUUAAAUCUUGAGGGGACCAGAACCCUGGCCACGCUCACACAUGUAGAACCCCAUGCCGGUUAAAAGCUGACCAGGCUCACAUGUAGAACCAUUUGCCAUGUUAAAAGCUGACCACUCACAUGAACCAUUUGCCAGGUUAAAAGCUGACCACUCACAUGAACCAUUUGCCAGGUUAAAAGCUGACCACUCACACGAACCAUUUGCCAGGUUAAAAGCUGACCACUCACACAAAGAACCAUUUGCCAGGUUAAAAGCUGACCACUCACACAAACAACCAUUUGCCAGGUUAAAAUCUGACCACUCACACAAACCAUUUGCCAGGUUAAAAUCUGACCACUCACACCAUUUGCCAGGUUAAAAGCUGACCACUCACACCAUUUGCCAGGUUAAAAGCUGACCACUCACACAAACCAUUUGCCAGGUUAAAAGCUGACCACUCACACACCAUUUGCCAGGUUAAAAGCUGACCACUCACACACCAUUUGCCAGGUUAAAAGCUGACCACUCACACACCAUUUGCCAGGUUAAAAGCUGACCACUCACACAAAGAACCAUUUGCCAGGUUAAAAGCUGACCACUCACACACCAUUUGCCAGUUUAAAAGCUGACCACUCACACAAAGAACCAUUUGCCAGGUUAAAAGCUGACCACUCAAACAAACCAUUUGCCAGGUUAAAAGCUGACCACUCACACAAACCAUUUGCCAGGUUAAAAGCUGACCACUCACACAAACCAUUUGCCAGGUUAAAAGCUGACCACUCAGACGAAGAACCAUUUGCCAGGUUAAAAGCUGAC